UACGAAGGGGGCUAGCGUUGUUCGGAAUCACUGGGCGUAAAGCGCACGUAGGCGGAUCUUUAAGUCAGAGGUGAAAUCCCAAGGCUCAACCUUGGAACUGCCUUUGAUACUGGGGAUCUUGAGUCCGGGAGAGGUGAGUGGAACUGCGAGUGUAGAGGUGAAAUUCGUAGAUAUUCGCAAGAACACCAGUGGCGAAGGCGGCUCACUGGCCCGGUACUGACGCUGAGGUGCGAAAGCGUGGGGAGCAAACAGG
rnacentral:rRNA from 2 species